AAACCAGCCUGAUUUUACGAGGCCUUUCAGCUCUUGGCAGAGCCCCCUGCUCAGGCGCAGCACUUGAGACGUGGUUGCUCCGGCCGGGUUCAGGCGCUCGGUGCCUGCGGGCACGGGGUGAGACGGGGCCGCGGGGUGUCCCCAGCCUCUGCUGCCCCCUGCUCAGGCCACCCGACCCUCAGCACCCAGCACGUGGGGUCCCCACCUCGACCCCAAUUUUAAGGCGUUAGAAUGACCCAAGAACCAAGCUAAGUGGUUUUUCUUUUUUUUUUUUUUAAUAUAUGACAAUUUUUCAUUUUGUGUUUUAAUCCCUGCGCCUUUCUCUUCGACCAGAAAAAAAGAACCGGAGACCAAGAAGCUAGAAAAUCGGAGAUUGCUUUUGCGUACUGAAAACCCAGAAGCUUCCCAUCCUCGCCUGCUGCCCUGGGCUCUGCUGUCGCCUUCGACUGCUCCUCCCCGUGCCCUCUCCCUGCUGUCGCCCCAUCCCGGCCGCGUUUUGGCUCUCGGAGGAGGUGCUGGAGCCUCUCCGGAGCAGCCCGGGGACGGGCAGGGAUCCGAGAGCCAGGAAAUCCCGAUUUCUGCCUCCACACCUGAAGCCGAGCCCUUUCCGCAGCCUCCCCGUGCCUUCCCGUGUGUCUUCGUCCCACCAGCACGUGGCCGCCCCGGCUGGAUGCUGCCUGCUUCCUGCGCGGGGCUGCGGGCGGCGGUGCCGUGGGGCUGCUGCUGGGGCACCCGCGGGCUUCCAGCGGGGCCGCCACGCGACGUUACCUCCACGCAAAGCCCGUCAGGACAUUUCUGAGGGGGUUUUAAGGUUUGCCAUAAAAAAAUGGGACUCCACUGACCCAAAGCUCGGUCUCAGGUGUGCGGGUGCAGCCGGGGCUCGGGAGCACCGCAGGCGCCAGCCUCCAGCUGCAGCAGGAGCUGCCCGAAAAUGCCGAUCAGAAACCUGCCCAAACCGGGAUUUACAAUAUCUUGGUUGACAAAUUUUAUUCGUUUCUUUCUUUUUUUUUUUUUCUCCUUCCUGGGGAAGUUU
rnacentral:lncRNA from 1 species